CCUACGGGUGGCAGCAGUGAGGAAUAUUGGUCAAUGGCCGUAAGGCUGAACCAGCCAAGUCGCGUGAAGGAAGAAGGAUCUAUGGUUUGUAAACUUCUUUUAUGGGGGAAUAAAGGUAUCCACGUGUGGAUAUUUGCAUGUACCCUAUGAAUAAGCAUCGGCUAACUCCGUGCCAGCAGCCGCGGUAAUACGGAGGAUGCGAGCGUUAUCCGGAUUUAUUGGGUUUAAAGGGUGCGUAGCUGGUCUUUUAAGUCAGCUGUGAAAGUUUGUGGCUCAACCAUAAAACUGCCGUUGAAACUGGAAGUCUUGAGUGUGGUUGAGGUAGGCGGAAUGCGUGGUGUAGCGGUGAAAUGCAUAGAUAUCACGCAGAACUCCGAUUGCGAAGGCAGAUUACUAAGCCAUAACUGACACUGAAGCACGAAAGCGUGGGGAGCAAACAGGAUUAGAUACCCGAGUAGUC
rnacentral:rRNA from 1 species